GACGAACGCUGGCGGCGUGCCUAAUACAUGCAAGUAGAACGCACAGUUUAUACCGUAGCUUGCUACACCAUAGACUGUGAGUUGCGAACGGGUGAGUAACGCGUAGGUAACCUGCCUGGUAGCGGGGGAUAACUAUUGGAAACGAUAGCUAAUACCGCAUAAUAUUAAUUAUUGCAUGAUAAUUAAUUGAAAGGUGCAAUUGCACCACUACCAGAUGGACCUGCGUUGUAUUAGCUAGUAGGUGAGGUAACGGCUCACCUAGGCGACGAUACAUAGCCGACCUGAGAGGGUGAGCGGCCACACUGGGACUGAGACACGGCCCAGACUCCUACGGGAGGCAGCAGUAGGGAAUCUUCGGCAAUGGACGAAAGUCUGACCGAGCAACGCCGCGUGAGUGAAGAAGGUUGUCGGAUCGUAAAGCUCUGUUGUAAGAGAAGAACGGGUGUGAGAGUGGAAAGUUCACACUGUGACGGUAUCUUACCAGAAAGGGACGGCUAACUACGUG
rnacentral:rRNA from 1 species